GCUACAUGCUCGUGAGGUUAUUUAGCACGCAUUGCGGUCAAGGAUUGGUGACGUUGACACGCAAGGCGCAAUAUGCAACCGGAGACGAGUGACACUGAAGCAGGGCGAACGAACGACGACCAGCUAAUGGAAACGUGGGCAGCCAAGCUCGUUCUCGAGGACCUGGAAGACCAGCGGCAACUCGUCGCCAGGGCCAAGAGGGCAGCCGAAGCCAGAGAGUUCCUGGAAACGGGAGCCCUCUCACCUCAGGCUGAUACCGGGCAUUGUUCGGAACACUGUCGACACUGUUUCUAGAAUAAACGUUUAUUUCUCUCUCU